GAUGAACGCUGGCGGCGUGCCUAAUACAUGCCAGUCGAGCGAACAGACGAGGAGCUUGCUCCUUUGACGUUAGCGGCGGACGGGUGAGUAACACGUGGGUAACCUACCUAUAAGACUGGGAUAACUUCGGGAAACCGGAGCUAAUACCGGAUAAUAUUUCGAACCGCAUGGUUCGAUAGUGAAAGAUGGCUCUGCUAUCACUUAUAGAUGGACCUGCGCCGUAUUAGCUAGUUGGUAAGGUAACGGCUUACCAAGGCAACGAUACGUAGCCGACCUGAGAGGGUGAUCGGCCACACUGGAACUGAGACACGGUCCAGACUCCUACGGGAGGCAGCAGUAGGGAAUCUUCCGCAAUGGGCGAAAGCCUGACGGAGCAACGCCGCGUGAGUGAUGAAGGUCUUCGGAUCGUAAAACUCUGUUAUUAGGGAAGAACAAACGUGUAAGUAACUGUGCACGUCUGGACGGUACCUAAUCAGAAAGCCACGGCUAACUACGU
rnacentral:rRNA from 1 species